CACAUGUAUGUUUUACGUUUAAAAAUAACCUUCGCGAGCCGUCAGCGAAACGAAUUUACAUCGGGUACGUGUUGCACGUUCUUGGCUUUGGCAUUCACGAAUAACAACAGCAGAAAAACACUAUCACCUUCACGUAUUCCAAUGCAAAACCAUGAAGACAAAACACACAUCCCAACAAAAAAAAACCAACAAAAUACUGGCGACGUUUUGUCGACGCCGACGACUAAACACGCGCGAUUCCUGCUGGCCUGCUGUGUGCGCACGGAUCGAUGACGGAACAGCUGGUUGCGAGUCACGACGCCAACCUAUUGCAGCGCAAGCAGGAAAACUCACAUGGCUACACAUCGCAUAACAUCACAGCUGGUCACAUGCAUGCACACAGUGACAAAAUGGUUGAACUGCGCAGGAAAGUUCAUGCAUUGUGAAAUGUGACACAGUGUUAGACGUAUGAAAUGUAUCCUGCGAAUAAAUUUAGUUUUUAAAUUGUUU